UACAGAGACUGCAAGCGUUAUUCGGAUUCACUGAGCGUAAAGGGUGCGCAGGCGGCCGGGUGUGUCAGAUGUGAAAUCCCGAGGCUCAACCUCGGAACUGCGUCUGAAACUACUCGGCUAGAGUACUGGAGAGGGUAACGGAAUUCACGGUGUAGCAGUGAAAUGCGUAGAUAUCGUGAGGAACACCAGAGGCGAAGGCGGUUACCUGGACAGUUACUGACGCUCAGGCACGAAAGCAUGGGGAGCAAAAGGG
rnacentral:rRNA from 1 species